rnacentral:lncRNA from 1 species
AUGCCUUCAGCUGGGAUUCCCRGCAUCAGGCUGCAGCACAGCCCCUUCGUCACUGCAUCCUCAACAGCACUCGCCUCAUCGCUGCACAGUCACACUCCCCUUCUAGGUUUCUCAGUCGGUCUUUGUUACUGCUUGCUCAGUCUCACGCUUUCCCUCCUCGAAACUCACCCCUUCGUCAGAGCCACACUGCUCUGCUUUUUUCUCCUUCUCACAACCCUGCCCCUGCUCAUAUCAGCUCUCUCAUCCCAGCGCCCCACUGCCCUCUCUCCUCUUGCUUUCUGGCUGAGGAUCCUAAAAGGAGGACCUGUGCUUAUGCCACCACCAGUUAUAAACUUGCCCAGUUACCUGGCGGUUUUGAACCCUCCUUUAUUAAAUAACCCCAGUCCUCAGGUCAGCAACGGCUUUUCCCUCUGCCCAUAUCCUGUCUUUCCUCCAGGCCCCUGGCGUUCAGCCUGCAAGCUCACCUUAGUCUUUCUAAGACGGAGGAAAUCUCCCUCAAACCAACCAGCCUCUCCAAUUGCAGCUUUAUCUCCUUCUUCCUGUUUACUGCUAAGGACCUUGAAAGAGCCAUUUAUUCCCAUUGCCACGGCUUCCAGCCCUUCUUUGGGAUUUCAGGACGUCUCCCACCUUCUCGGAAACAUUGCGCUGCUGCCUCUCCUCACCAAACCAAAAGGCUUACUCUGCGUCUGUGCUGCACUCACCCCUGCUCCCUCUGCGAGCGCAGCCGCCGUCAGCAAGUCUCCCGCAGUGCCUGGCCACCUGGGUUCCCAGCRACCGCCUCGCCUGCUGGGCUGCCCUUCCCCAGUGUUUCUGGCUGAUCCUCAGAGAGCUGUUUCUGACCCGCUGCCGGUCUCAGCUGUGCCCCAACCUGUACCCUCUGCUUCUCCUGCCUCUGCAGGUGCUGCUCCCCUUCCUCUGCCGCUCCUUCGUAUACCUCCAUAUACUCCAUAUAAGCUUCCACAACUUCUCCAAAACCUGUUCCACCUUCUCUGUUGUACUUAA